GACGAACGCUGGCGGCGUGCCUAAUACAUGCAAGUCGAACGGAAAGGCCCGGCUUUUGUGGGGUGCUCGAGUGGCGAACGGGUGUGUAACACGCGUGUAACCCGUCCUUGACUUUGGGAUAACUUUAGGAAACUGGGGCUCAUAUCGGAUAGGAGCUGCUGCUGCAUGGUGGGGGUCGGAAAGAGUCGGCGGUUGGGGAUGGACUCGCGGCUUAUCAGCCUGUUGGUGGGGUAGUGGAUUACCAAGGCUUCGACGGGUAGGCGGCCUGAGAGGGUGGCCGGCGACAAUGGGACUGAGAGACGGCGCAGUCUCCUACGGGAGGCAGCAGUGGAGAAUAUUGCAGAGUGGGCGGGAGCCUGAUGCAACAGCGCCGCGUGCGGAAUGCCGGGCUUCGGGUUGUAAACCGCUGUCGCCGGUGACGAAGCGUGAUUGACGGUAAUGGGUAAAGAAGCACCGGCUAACUACGUG
rnacentral:rRNA from 1 species